rnacentral:lncRNA from 1 species
UUUUUUUUUUUUUUUGCCUUUGUCUUUUUUUUGUCUUUUGUUGUUGUUGUUGCUAUUUCUUGGGCCGCUCCCGCGGCAUAUGGAGGUUCCCAGGCUAGGGGUUGAAUCGGAACUGUAGCCACCGGCCUACGCCAGAGGCACAGCAACGCGGGAUCCGAGCCGCGUCUGCAACCUACACCACAGCUCACGGCAACGCCGGAUCGUUAACCCACUGAGCAAGGGCAGGGACCGAACCCGCAACCUCAUGGUUCCUAGUCGGAUUCGUUAACCACUGCGCCACGACGGGAACUCCAGAAUAGAGAUUUUAAAUCACCUACUUACAAACAGGAAUUACUAAUGGCCAGAGUAGCUUACACAUACUCAAGAGAGCUAAAUGGCCCAUAACAUUUAUAACAUGAGAUUAAAAUUUCAGCUUGAAGAUGACUAAAUUUCACUCAACAACCAAGUGAAGUCUUUUUUUUCUUCUUCUUCUUUUUAUGGCUGCACCUGUGGCAUAUGGAAGUUCCCAGGCUAGGGGCUGAAUUGGAGCUGCAGCUUCUGGCCUAUGCCACAGCCAGAGCAACAUGGGAUCCUUAACCCACCGAGCAGAGGCCAGGGAUCAAACCUGCUUCCUCACAGAGACCAUGACAGGUAUUUAACCCAUUGAGCCACAACUGUAACUCCAAGGUGAUGUCUUUUUAAAGAUCAAAAAAAGAAGAAGAAACUUUAAAUAAAAUAGUUUAAAAUAAAAAAGUUCUCUAAUUCAAAGGGGUACUUUUUUUAAUGUCCUCAGGCCAGAAUGCUCAGUCAACCUGACAGAAAGAACUACAUACUUUUAUAUAUUCAAAAAUCAAGAUAGAUACCAAGUCAAUGAAGUUUAAAUUUUAAUAUAAAUUCAGUUUUUUUACUAUUACUCCAUAAAUCUACUUUAAAUAUGGUAAUAUAAGAAAAAAAAGUUAAAGAGACUACAAGAACCAUUAGGUUUUUGUUUUGUUUUGUUUUGUUUUUCCCUCUCUUUACAGCUGUACUUGCGGCAUAUGGAGGUCCAAUCGGAGCUACAGCUGUGGGCCUGCACCAGAGCCACAGCAACAUCAGAUCUGAGCCAUGUCUGCGAUCUACACCACAGCUCACGGCAAUGUUGGAUCCUUAACCCACUGAGCGAGGCCAGAGAUCAAACCCGCAGCCUCAUGGUUCUUAGAUUCAUUUCCACUGCGCUACAACGGGAACUCUGAACCAUGAGAGAUUUUUUAAAGAAAAAGGAGGAACAGCAUCAUUUGUAUUGCACUCUUCAGAUGCUCACACUCCUUCUUAAGAAAGUAGAAAAUCCCAUGGAGUUCCCAUCGUGGCUCAGUGAAAAUGAAUCUGACUAGUAACUACGAGGACGCAAGUUCAAUCCCUGGCCUCAAUCAUGGGUUAAGGAUCUGGCAUUGCAGUGAGCUGUGGUGUAGGCUGGCAGCUGCAGCUCUGAUGUGACCCCUAGACUGGGAACCUCCAUAUGCCACAAUUGCAGCCCUAAAAAGGAAAAAAAGAAAAGAAAAGAAAGAAAACUAUACUUUAUUGCUUCCUAUAUGCAUAUGGACAUUAAUGCCUUAGAAAAGAAAAAACAGUCUUUACAGACAUUUUAACUAUACAGAAGAGCACGAAAUAUUUACAAUCCAGAAAAAAAUGUAAAUUCACUUGAAAACUAAAAUUCCUAAAUUAAGUUGAGAACUUUGGCAAAAUAUACAAAGAAAAUACACCUUUUAGAUUUGGUCUUGAAAACUUUUUGUUCUGGCUAUAAAUCAAUUGUAGAAGACUACAGGAGAACUAAAAUGCAGGCAGCUAAUCAAAUGUUUUUGGUUGUUUUUAACUUUAUGGAAUAACUAGGAUGGAUUAAUGACCUACUUACUAACUGAUUAUCUUACCUCUGAAAACACUGGCAAAGGAGUUCCAGUCCUGGCUAAGAGGAAACAAAUCUGACUAGCAUCAAUGAGGAUGCAGGUUCGAUCCCUGUCCUUGCUCAGUGAAUUUAGGCUCUGGCAUUGCCGUGAGCUGUGGUGUAGGUCACAAACACAGCUCAAAUCCCAAAUUGCUGUGGCUGUGGUGUAGGACAGCAGUACAGCUCGGAUUCAACCUUUAGCCUGGGAACCUCCAUAUGCCACAGGUAUGGCCCUAAAAAUACAAAAAAAUUAAAAAUUAAAAAACUGGCUAAGAAUAAAUAUUACAAAUCAGUCUAUAGUCUGAACUGUGAGCUGGUUUCUAGUUGUUUUUUUUUCUACUACAGGUAUUGUUCUUGUCUCCACUUUUUUUAAACUGCUUAAUGAAUCACAACUACCUCAAUACCUUUGCCUUAAAUUAAAGUUCUGAGGUUUAGAGGUUAAACAUUACAAACUGUUCUUAUUACAAACUUUAUCUUCAAGUGUCUUCUUAGUCUUAUUUAUUAGGAAAAUAUUUUUUAAGGCACUUACCAUGUAAACAACUCGUUACUUUAGAAAACAUCCUAGCUAUUAAAAUUUGUCAAAAGACAAGCUUCUAGUCUUAUUUUUCCCCAUUUCAAUAAGUGUUAAAAAUAGUUGUCAAGGAUAGACCUAGGUUAAUCUGACCUGUCUAAAUCCAGCUUAGCUUUUAACACCUUGUCAUAACAUCCUUAUCUUUUAACACUCAAGAAGGAUUAGUAAUUCUUUGUAAACAGUCCCUCAACUUCACAGACCAGCUUUUUGAGGAAAGGUUUUUUUUUUUUUAUAACACUAUGAAUUUCAAUUCUGGCAAUCUGAUAUAAGCAGAAAAUUCUGAUCAAAGAUUACUAUCUUACACAGAUGUUCAUUGUAGAUCAUUAGAAAAACAUACAAAUCCACAUAAAUGUUUGAUAAGAAGGAAUGGCUACCUAAGUGGUAUUCCUUUUAUAAAUGGAGUAUUAUGCAGCCAUAAAAAAUCAUGUUCACCCCCUAAAAUGUGCAAUUACAGGGAAAUAGCUUAUGUUACAGGAAGUGUGAAGAAAUGAACAAUUACAAUUUUUUAGACUACAUAAAAAAUAUCAGAAAGUACACUGGAUAUUUUUUUGUUUUUCCCAAAUGGUAUAUUAUGUACAUGUAUAAUUUUUUUAUCUGUAACAUCACCAUUAUAUUCCUUCUGCUAAUAUUUUAAAGUAUGCAGCUAUCAUGUAACACUCCACCCCCAUGGGACAAUACUUCCUUGCUUACUUACUUUUCCAGAAUGCACACUUCCAACACAUUCAGCCAUCUGAACCAUAAAGGAAAAUUUUCAGAUAGAAAAUAAUAGCCUCUAUUUUUUGGAAGACAUGCUUGGGAAAGUGUUUAUUUAAUAUCUGAACAAUAUUACAGCAUCAAAGUUAAAAAAAAUUAUGUGGCUAUCAAUUAUCAUCAUAGCAGAUAAAAAAAUUUGACUUCCAGGACCUCUGGGAAUUCUUUUGCCCACAUGCAUCAGGAUUCCCAGGAAUUUUCACUGCAGCUGAGUAAUUUCUAUGAUCUGCCACAUCAUCUGUAGAGAUACAUCUUUUCCCAUUCUUCAGAGAAGAUCAGAUUUAUGCACUAACUCAGAAAGCUUUAAAAAUGUUCAUUUGCUCUCUUUUGUCUUUAAUCUUCUAUUAUGCUAUAAACGUUUGGCCUAAAAUUAAGAAAACCAAAUUGUUUUAAGAAAUAAGUAAAUAAUGCCUCAAAAUAGUUGAUCUUAUCUCUCUCUGAACAUUUUUUUCUUAAUGCCAAGUUCACAUUUCAAUGAUAUUUCCCAGAUAAAUCCAAUUGCCUGAAGUACUCUUUGAAAAUACUCAAAACCAAUAUAUUUUAAUAGCAUUUGGAGCAAUUUUACCAACAUUUUCAGGUUGCCCAUCUUAAACGGUUAAAAAAAAAAAAAAAGACAGUUAAAAAGUAUCUUCAAAUUAGUUCUCCAUUUUCAUCCUUCAAACAGACUAGUUUCCCCACCAUGAAUACUUCCUCAAUAUUGAACAGCCAAAUUAGAGCUGAGUUUAAUACCCACAAAAAAAUACUUGUUUAAUUUUAAAUAUAUUGACAUUCAAAGAUAUAAUUAUUUUAUUAGUUUUAUAGACACCAAAGGGAUCGUUCCAGGGGAAAGAAGUAAGCCCAUACUUGUACUCCAAAUACAUACAAAAUAUUUUUUAUUCCCUCCCAGGGAAAUUUGCAUCUUGAUGAGAGAGGCUGGCUUUUAAACUGGCCCAUUUUCACAGAUUUAAAAAUGUAAUACAUUUAUAGCUAGUUGAAUGGGAAAUGCCUGUACUUCAUUCAUCCCUGCCAAACUAUUAGCAAGCUACUUAAUUAAAGGGAGACUACCACUCUCUCUCUGUCCUCAAGACAAAAACUGGGUAUAUGUGAAAACAAUCAUUUUUCUCAGUAUCCACCAACCACACUUGCUGUAAAAUGUUGACUUCUAUGGUCAACCACACAAAAAUUACACUCAGAUGCCUAUUCAUCAUAGUGAUGGUUUCACAGCUUUAUGUCUGUGUCCAAACUCAUCAGAUUGUAUACAUUAAAUAUGUGCAGAUGUUUUGUGAUCAAGAACCCCUUAAUAAAGUUGUUUUCAAAAAUAAAGAAAAAAAUUACACUCAGAAACGCCUACAGCCUUGAUUCUCAGCGUGUGGUCUGCAAAUGAGUGACAACAACAUUACCUGAGAACUUGUCAGAAACAAAGCUCUCAGACCCCAGGCCAGACCUACUGAAUCACAGUCUACAUUGACCAAAACACCCAGGUCAUUUGUCCACACUUUAAAGUUUUAGAAGCACUAGUUUAAAGGUUAAGGUAGAAGUCAGCAUAAUAAACUAUCACCUGCUUUCACAUUCUAAAUUGUUGUAGAAAGCUGCAGAAAAAUCUACAGUUGGCAAUGAAUAAGUCAUUCCUAGAGACUGUUGGUAAAUCUUUUAAUUAAAUCAAAUCUGUCCACAAAGAUUAAAAAAAAAAAAAAUACAACUGGCUGAUGCUUUGUGCCUAUUAACAGGAUUUUCACUGCAUUACCAGAACUAGAUAUUUUUUAAUGACAUACUGAAAAUAGGUACAUCUGUUCAUUCUCUAUUAAGAAAGUAUUCUCGCUGAGAAAAAACUUCCUCUUCUUUUCAAACCUAACCUAAAAUGGAUCUUGUGGAUGAAAUCUACUUUUAAUUGUUCCAAGUUUAAAAUGUAUUAAGGAAGCUUAAUAUAAACAUCCUAAUUGACCAAUUUUAGGACUAGUUUAAUUCACCUCACAAACAGAUUAAAUAUGCGUGUCUGAGACAAAGAUACAGCCCCCCAUCAGAGUCCCCCAUCUCACGUAGGUCCUUGUAACAAAGGGUCCUCACACUUUCAACAACUUUCAUAAGAAAAUAGCUAACUGGAGGCUGUUGGGGAUUCAUAAUAAAAUUUGACUCACAAAAGUAUAAUUUAUGCAACUUUCCAGAAGUGUAUCCAAUAUACAUGGAUACACCUGUACUGGUACUGACCGGUGCUCUGUUAGUCUACAGAUUUUUAAACAAGAUGCUUCUAUAAGGACUUCAACUAUAGCCUAUCCCAAAGUGCUCUGGGGAUAACUUUAUCCCUCUACAAUCAUGGCCUUGUUCUAAACAGAGCCGUUAAGUAAAUUAAAUCUUUAGAAAAACACACUUUUUUGUUUGUAAAGAAAGAAACAUUUCCUGAAUGCCAGAGAAUGUUUCCUUGAGAAACUGUUUAUGUUACUCUGUUGAAAAAGGUGUUUAUGUUGCUAUAAACACCUUCCUUGUAAGAGGGGAUACAGAGUCUCACCAUUGUUUACAUUGUAAUCAGCCCUGAUUCUGAAAAGAUCUACCCUUAUUCCUCAGGCCUGGACUAACUCUCCAUUCUGUCUCAAUUAGAUCAUUCUCAGAGAUAGUCUGUAUUUGUUUAGCAUAAUCAACUCAUCACAUGUGAACAAGGGAGCUUAGGUUCAUAAUCAGCACUACAAUUACCAUCCUCUUUAAUUAGCAACCUGUGGUGAUUUGUGCUAUAUCAACUUCAUUAAACAGAAACUACAUUUCCUGGAGUCUUCUUCUUGGUACAGUUCCAGGUUAGAGUUGACCUGUGCAAAAGUAAAAUUUGCAUAUCUGCAUGGAUUUGGAAGCCAUUACUCGCUGAAGGUUGUCAUAGUUAGCAUAGUGACCAGACAUGACUAUGUGGGUGGGUUCAAGCUUAUCUUUGCUCUUCUCAGAUCCCUGUCCAGUUUCCCAAGCUGGCUCUGAAGGUCAACAGUGACUCUAAGCUUGCCUACAGACCCAGAGCAGUGGGAACCAGACAGAGAGCACAGCCUUCCACAGAUCCUGCCCUAUGAGCCCUGUCUCAUGCUUAGCUUCUCGGACUGACCAAUUAGGGACUCCACUGAUCCCUUCAACUUGCCUCUUGGACUUUCACUUCCCAAGCUCCUACCAUAAAUGUUUAAGGUUUAAUUUCUAUAAUAAAUCUCUUACCCCAUAAUCAAUUGUAGUCUUCUUCCACGAUUAAAUCCCAACUGAAUCUAAAGGUUUCAUUUACUUGUUGCUCUGGAUUUAAUGGUCUCUUGCCAUUAAAGACAUGGUAUAUUCAACAUUAAAUGGCAAAACAAACUUCACCUGC